AUUGAACGCUAGCGGGAUGCCUUACACAUGCAAGUCGAACGGCAGCACGGACUUCGGUCUGGUGGCGAGUGGCGAACGGGUGAGUAAUGUAUCGGAACGUGCCUAGUAGCGGGGGAUAACUACGCGAAAGCGUAGCUAAUACCGCAUACGCCCUACGGGGGAAAGCAGGGGAUCGCAAGACCUUGCACUAUUAGAGCGGCCGAUAUCGGAUUAGCUAGUUGGUGGGGUAACGGCUCACCAAGGCGACGAUCCGUAGCUGGUUUGAGAGGACGACCAGCCACACUGGGACUGAGACACGGCCCAGACUCCUACGGGAGGCAGCAGUGGGGAAUUUUGGACAAUGGGGGAAACCCUGAUCCAGCCAUCCCGCGUGUGCGAUGAAGGCCUUCGGGUUGUAAAGCACUUUUGGCAGGAAAGAAACGUCAUGGGCUAAUACCCCGUGAAACUGACGGUACCUGCAG
rnacentral:rRNA from 3 species